UCCGGCAGGAAACAAAGCGCAGGACUUGCUCUAUUUUAAUCCUGCCAAGGGUCUUCUUGGAAGCGAGGCAGAGCCCGGCUGUGCAGAGUUAAGAAUGAAACCCUAUUUUUAGCCUGUCCCCGGUGAGGGAAGAACUGAAGCCCAGAUCGGUGUGGUCUCCUGACGGUGACCUCCAAGCACCCAAAAGUGAAGGGCAGGGUUUUGGUAACUGAGUGGCUGCCGUUUAAACUCAGCCCAGUCCAACAGUGGCAAGGAGCCACUGGUGCACCUGACUGCCCAAGUGUCCUACAGGUGGAUGGGCUGCGCGAGGCUUGUCUUCACUGCAGAACCACAGAGCAUCUGGGGCUGAGGCUGAGCAACCUCACUGCAAAACCCAACUGGGAGAGAUGGAGUGAGCACUGCAGGGACUUCAGGAGGCAUGUCUGCAGGUAUCUGAGCGCUGCCGCUUUUCAAAGCAGAAGGACUGCUGUUAAUAUUCAUGGAAAGGAAGAUGAAAAGGCACUGGAGAAGGGAGUGCGUGGCGGGGUACCGAGGAAGUCCCAGCAUGUUUUAUCCUGUGCUUGCAGCGGAGAGAGGAAGGCUCGCAGUCCAAGUGCAGCUGCUCUGUGCUACAGAUUGCACUCGCAGAUUGUCAUCCUGCCAGCUGCCCCCAGCGCCAAACCUAAGGCUCUAGUGUGAAGCAGCACUAAUUUAAGGCAGCCCCUGAGCUCUCUCUGAAGCGAAGGCUCUUCACCCAGUAAGCCCAGCACAGCUCAAAUGAGCGUCGCUGCUGGCAACCUCAGCUGUAAAGCCAUGGUCUGAAACAGAAACACCUCCAGACGUGAUCUCUCCUGAAUAAAAACUUAAUUUGCUGCUG